rnacentral:rRNA from 1 species
AGUGAACGCUGGCGGUAGGCCUAACACAUGCAAGUCGAACGGCAGCACAGUAAGAGCUUGCUCUUACGGGUGGCGAGUGGCGGACGGGUGAGGAAUACAUCGGAAUCUACUUUUUCGUGGGGGAUAACGUAGGGAAACUUACGCUAAUACCGCAUACGACCUACGGGUGAAAGCAGGGGAUCUUCGGACCUUGCGCGAUUGAAUGAGCCGAUGUCGGAUUAGCUAGUUGGCGGGGUAAAGGCCCACCAAGGCGACGAUCCGUAGCUGGUCUGAGAGGAUGAUCAGCCACAAUGGAACUGAGACACGGUCCAGACGCCUACGAGAGGCAGCAGUGGGGAAUAUUAGACAAUGGGCGCAAGCCUGAUCCAGCCAUACCGCGUGGGUGAAGAAGGCCUUCUGGUUGUAAAGCCCUUUUGUUGGGAAAGAAAAGCAGCAGGUUAAUACCCCGCUGUUCUGACGGUACCCAAAGAAUAAGCACCGGCUAACUUCGUG